rnacentral:lncRNA from 1 species
GUGAUCUCUGUUUUCAUUUGUCACAGGCCUCCCCACCCCAAGAUCUGUGUGAAGAACCUAAACGGAAAGAGUCAAGAUUUAGGAUGAACGAGAGGAGCUGGUGUCUUUCUGAAUUUUGUAUGAAGCACUUAUUCCUGUGUCAUUGCCAAGGCAGGCUUCCCUGUCUGGCCAGCCCUCUGGUCUUAUCAGAAGAACCUCUUCUCUCUCACACUCUAUCCCACGUCUCAGCUGGAUGCAGGAUGAAUAAAAAUAUGCUUUCUGGUCCUCACACUUGGUUUUAUGUGAGUGAAUGCUGAUGGAAAUGGGUAAGUAAAUAGUUUUUAAGUGCAGUAGAUCAAAUUACUUCCUUCACAACUUGAAGUUCCU